GUCAUUUAGGAACAGAGGUAGCCUGAAAGAAGCAGGAACUCCAGGAUCCCAAACCAGAUCAGACCCUAUAGUAAAAUAUUUUUACAUCUUUUCCUUUCCCCAGAAGAGAUCCCUAACCUAUUGUUUUAUUGACAGCCUUGCUGUUAGAGGCUCUUUCCCAGAAGUUGGACGAAGAGGCUCAAGCGUUGCUGUUUCUUCUUUUUCAAGUCAAGUGGUUACUCUGGUAAUGGAUUGCCUCUCUCCGAGGUGAGUCAGAUCGGAAGAUAUUGUUACAUUUCAGACCACAAAUCCCCACCUCAUUGUCAAUUAAUUUUUUGCUGAACUGUCCUCAUGAAAUGGGUAAUAAAAAGAUCCCAGGGAGCAGGUUGCACUGUGUUUAAUAGUAACACAAUAAAGAUUUGUUGGCUGUCAUUCAAUGGAGAAGAACAUCACUUGUUGCUGGCCACUUGCCUUGACAUUGAUUUUGUGGGCAGUCAAUGGGUGAUAGUUUGUAAAGAAUGCAUGUUAUGCCCAGCAAGAUUGGUGGAGUCUGAGUUGCUGUAAGUUCUGGGAUUAAUAGUACGAAAUAUU
rnacentral:sRNA from 1 species